rnacentral:rRNA from 1 species
UACGUAGGCAGCGAGCGUUGUUCGGAGUUACUGGGCGUAAAGGGUGUGUAGGCGGUUGUUUAAGUUUGGUGUGAAAUCUCCCGGCUCAACUGGGAGGGUGCGCCGAAUACUGAAUGACUUGGAGUGCGGGAGAGGUGAGUGGAAUUCCUGGUGUAGCGGUGAAAUGCGCAGAUAUCAGGAGGAACACCAAUUGCGAAGGCAGCUCGCUGGGACGUUACUGACGCUGAGACGCGAAAGCGUGGGGAGCAAACAGG